rnacentral:lncRNA from 1 species
GGUAACACGCUACUCUCUUCGUUUAUUUCAUUUAGAAAUAAACUUAGUUGAAAAUGUGAAUCAACUAGAAUUCGAACUUGGGACUUCAGGUACCAACCACCAAGUCCUUUGCCACUUGCUCUAAGAACGGUCGGUGGUCCAUCUAAUAAUUGUUGCUUGCACUUAAUUUAUGGUGUAAUUUAUUUUUUAUUAAUAGAUAUUGGAAGCGUGAUUUAUGCUAAUACCGAUUGUUGGAAGCGUGAUUUGCUCUGAUACUAAUUGCGUGAUUUGCUCCGAUACCAAUUGUUGGAAUCGGUAUUUGUGCUGAUACUGAUUAUGUAAUCCAAAAUAUUCUGGGCAACAUCCAUACAGUCAUGUUUAUUGUGGUUUAUUCCUCUAAUUAAUUCAUGCCUAACUAUAUAUAGCUCAUCAAAUUAUAACAAAUAAUAAAUCUAAUUUUUACUUUGGAUAACUACAAAUCCUAAUCAUAAUCAAAUAAAAGACAUAAACUUAUCUGUAACUAUAUUUUAAUUAAGUUUAGGGUGCGUUUGGUUCGCGCUAUCUUUUAAAGAUUCCUAGUAAUCCAAUGGGAAUAAAAAAAUAUGACGGUAUUUGGCUAAACGCACUAAGUAAUCUAGUUGGUAAUAUUGGAUUCACUUGGGAAUAAAAUUCACCCCAAAGUACUAAUCUCAUUCACUUGAGGGAGGGUGUGUAUCCUUAUAUUAAUGGAUAGGGGUAAUCAUAAUAUGUCUAAUCUCUUUCUUUCUUCCUACCCGCCGGCUAAUUAAUAUUAUUUUUCUUUACACUCUAACCUUAUGUAUCUCUCUAAACUUAUUUUUCUCUCUAAAAUUCAACUUUUUUUUUCUCUCUCUAAACUAAGCUUUCUUUCUCUCUCUCUUUCUAAAAUUUCAACUCUCACACUCCCUCUAUUUUCGACUAUAUUUUUCCUUCUAUUUUUUUAAUUAUGCUAUCUCUCUCUAACUUAUACUCUCUCUCCCUUUUUUCUAAAAAGAUGUUGAAACUUUUGGUAACAUUAUCUAAAAUUAAUUAAAUAAAUAAAUUAAUUAAUUGUAUAUUUUUUGCAAUAUUAAAUAAUAUGGCUAAUUAAUAUUACCGUGCGAACCAAACACAGAAAUUCUACAUUCUUAGUAAUAGGAUGAAUAGGAAUAAGAUUUUCGGAUAUUUUUUAUUCCUAGUAAUCUUUCAUAAUGCGAACCAAACGCAGAGUUAGAUUAUUAUUUCCAAUAAUAUAUACAUAGAGUGGUAGUUGAGCUUUUGUAUUUUUAUGAAUGCAGAAGUAUUUAUAUUUUUGACUUUUUUAGUUGUUGAAUCAUUUCAAGAUCCGUACAAUAUCAUUAACGUCUACUAUAUAAGUUUUUUUUUUCACUAGAGUUGUCCAGAUCUUGAGGAUAGUUGAGCUUUAAUAUUUUUAUGAAUGCAAAAGUAUUUAUAUUUUUGACUUUUUUUAGUUGUCGAAUCAUUUCAAGAU